rnacentral:rRNA from 1 species
UACAGAGGGUGCAAGCGUUAAUCGGAAUUACUGGGCGUAAAGCGUGCGUAGUCGGUUAUCUAAGUCGGGUGUGAAAUCCCCGGGCUCAACCUGGGAAUUGCAUUCGAUACCGGAUAGCUAGAGUUCGGCAGAGGGAAGCGGAAUUUCCGGUGUAGCGGUGAAAUGCGUAGAUAUCGGAAGGAACAUCAGUGGCGAAAGCGGCUUCCUGGACCAGAACUGACGAUCAGGCACGAAAGCGUGGGGAGCAAACAGG